rnacentral:snRNA from 1 species
ACCCUAACCCAAUUACGGCAAUGAUGUAGUCAAUGAGGUAUUAAUUGAGACGUAUCAAUUGCUAGUUGAAAACUAUUUCCAAACCCCCUCAGGGCCUGGCCUACCUCUGGCCUUUGAGAAUUGCUAGAAGGGUCCCCUCAAAAGGGUAAGACC